GUGCCAGCAGCCGCGGUAAUACAGAAGCCUCAAGCGUUGUUCGGAAUUACUGGGCGUAAAGGGAGUGUAGGUGGUGGCGUAAGUCAGAUGUGAAAGCCCCGGGCUUAACCUGGGAAGUGCAUUUGAUACUGCGUUGCUAGAGUGCGAGAGAGGAGAGCGGAAUUCCAGGUGUAGGGGUGAAAUCCGUAGAUAUCUGGAGGAAUACCGAUGGCGUAGGCAGCUCUCUGGCUCGUAACUGACACUGAGACUCGAAAGCGUGGGGAGCAAACAGGAUUAGAUACCCUCGUAGUCC
rnacentral:rRNA from 1 species